AACGCUGGCGGCGUGCCUAAUACAUGCAAGUCGAGCGGACUUUCUCCUUCGGGAGAAGGUUAGCGGCGGACGGGUGAGUAACACGUAGGCAACCUGCCCUCAAGAUCGGGAUAACACUCGGAAACGAAUGCUAAGACCGGAUAGACAGACUUGUCGCAUGGCGAGUUUGGGAAACACGGCGCAAGCUGUGGCUUGGGGAUGGGCCUGCGGCGCAUUAGCUAGUUGGUGGGGUAACGGCUCACCAAGGCGACGAUGCGUAGCCGACCUGAGAGGGUGAACGGCCACACUGGGACUGAGACACGGCCCAGACUCCUACGGGAGGCAGCAGUAGGGAAUCUUCCACAAUGGGCGCAAGCCUGAUGGAGCAACGCCGCGUGAGUGAGGAAGGCUUUCGGGUCGUAAAGCUCUGUUGCCAGGGAAGAAUAAGGACGUGUUAACUGCACGUUUGAUGACGGUACCUGAGAAGAAAGCCCCGGCUAACUACGUGCCAGCAGCCGCGGUAAUACGUAGGGGGCAAGCGUUGUCCGGAAUUAUUGGGCGUAAAGCGCGCGCAGGCGGCUCUUUAAGUCUGGUGUCUAAGUGCGGGGCUCAACCCCGUGACGCACGGGAAACUGGGGAGC
rnacentral:rRNA from 1 species